rnacentral:sRNA from 1 species
AUGCAGGGGGCUUCCAUCCAAGGUGGGAACUAGAGCGUCCAAGCCCAAAGGAGGAACGGUGCUAAAAGCCAGGCGACUGAAAGUGAUGUACAAACAGGGCGGAAUUCUGCAAGUAUCAAGCAAGUAGCUUAACACUGGUGGCUGAAGGGAAGGACGCAGCUCUUACAAGUGUGGAGCAUCUUACAGUUAAAGAGAAUGUGUUAGAUUCCCAUGACACCCCUGUGAGGCCACCCUGGAGAAAUGUGCCACGUGCUCCCAGCCCAUCCUGGACCGGAUCCUGCGGGCUAUGGGGAAGGCCUACCACCCUGGCUGCUUCACCUGCGUGGUGUGUCACCGCGGCCUCGACGGCAUCCCCUUCACAGUGGAUGCUACGAGCCAGAUCCACUGCAUUGAGGACUUUCACAGGAAGUUUGCCCCAAGAUGCUCAGUGUGCGGUGGGGCCAUAAUGCCUGAGCCAGGUCAGGAGGAGACUGUGAGAAUUGUUGCUCUGGAUCGAAGUUUUCACAUUGGCUGUUACAAGUGCGAGGUCAGGGGCCCCCAGCACGUGCAAGGGGCUGGCAGUGUCUAGGGUGCUGGGUAGAGCAUGAGAGAGGGGGAACACAGAGGUCUGGGGUUGAUG